GACAUUAAAAAUCAGUGUAAAAUUCAAAAAGACUGUUUUUAGUGCUUGGUUGAUCUGAUGGCUCUUCUACUAGGAAAGUUAAUGCUACCAGGAUAAACUCCAACACACACCUGGCCGCCCCAGAGACCCUAAAAUGGACCCCCCCCCCAAAAAAAAAAAAAAAAAGGAAGAGCGGGAUAUCUGCAAAAACAAUUCCGCCAGACUGAGGUUAAAAAAAAAAAAAAAAGCUGAAACACCAAGUUAAACACGAAAAUGCAAGCGACGCAUGACAGGGCUGCCUGGCCCUCAGGAUUUCUCAGGCCGGCCGCCAGGCGUAAUUAACAACACAUGUUCUCUUUAUCUUUCUACGUGUUCUGCAACCAUCUCAACUUUAACCCUGGGCUGGGACUGAAGGAGAAAAAAAGCCCUAGACAACUUGGGAUCCGGAAAUCUGAAAACCGAGGAGACACCGCUCCCGCGGCGAAGGACCACAGGGGCAAUAGACUAGCACACACGUGGAGAAAAAGAAAGGCCAAACAAAAAUUCAGGAGCAUCACAGAGCUAGCUCGUCAGUACUUGCUUGUAUCUCUGUAAUAAACACUCUUCUUUCUACCUUGUGAAUAUCAUGCCAAAGCCGCUGCUAGUCAUCUGUCUCCCCACAGUGCCUCACUGGGUACAUUGCAAGCAAGCAGUGAACACUUUCGCUAAAUGAAUAAAUGGACAUGGAAUAAAGAACUAAGUUGUCACUUGGACGGUUCUGUUUCCUCACAAAGGACUAUUUCCAAAAUGCUUAUGUUUAAAAGCACUUAGGGUUCCACAAAAUAAAAAGACACUAUCACAUA